rnacentral:rRNA from 1 species
UACGUAGGGGGCAAGCGUUGUCCGGAAUCAUUGGGCGUAAAGAGCGUGUAGGCGGUCCGGUAAGUCGGCUGUGAAAGUCCAGGGCUCAACCCUGGGAUGCCGGUCGAUACUGCCGGACUAGAGUUCGGAAGAGGCGAGUGGAAUUCCCGGUGUGAGCGGUGAAAUGCGCAGAUAUCGGGAGGAACACCUAUGGCGAAGGCAGCUCGCUGGGACGUUACUGACGCUGGAGACGCGAAAGCGUGGGGAGCAAACACGG